rnacentral:rRNA from 1 species
CCUACGGGGGGCAGCAGUCGAGAAUCAUUCACAAUGGGGGAAACCCUGAUGGUGCGACGCCGCGUGGGGGAAUGAAGUUCUUCGGAUUGUAAACCCCUGUCAUGUGGGAGCAAAUUAAAAAGAUAGUACCACAAGAGGAAGAGACGGCUAACUCUGUGCCAGCAGCCGCGGUAAUACAGAGGGCUGAAGCGGUGUUCGGAAUCACUGGGCGUAAAGGGUGCGGGGGCUGUUACGUAAGUCGUGAGGGAAAGGCGCGGGCUCAACCCGCGGACGGCACAUGAUACUGCGAGACUUGAGUAGUGGAGGGGUAAGCGGAAUUCUCGGUGUAGCAGUGAAAUGCGUAGAUAUCGAGAGGAACACUCGUGGCGAAGGCGGGUUCCUGGACAUUAACUGACGCUGAGGCACGAAGGCCAGGGGAGCGAAAGGGAUUAGAUACCCCAGUAGUC